UGCAGUCGAACGAUGAACCUUCGGGUGGAUUAUGGCAACGGGUGAGUAACACGUGGGCAAUCUGCCCUUCCUCUGGGACAAGCCCUGGAAACGGGGUCUAAUACCGGAUAACACUUACCUCCUCCUGGGGGUUGGGGAGGUUGGUUCGGUGCUCCNGCGGUGAAGGAUGACCCCGCGGCCUAUCAUCUUGUUGGUGGGGUAAUGGCCUACCACGGCGACGACGGGUAGCCGGCCUGAGAGGGCGACCGGCCACACUGGGACUGAGACACGGCCCAGACUCCUACCGGGAGGGGCAGUGGGGAAUAUUGCACNNUGGGCGAGAGCCUGAUGCACCGACCGUCAACGCUGUGUGAGGAUGACGGCCUCUUGGUUGUANNCCUCUUUCAGCAGGGAAGAAGCGCAAGUGACGGUACCUGCAGAAGAAGCACCGGCUAACUACGUGCCAGCAGCCGCGGUAAUACGUANGGUGCGAGCGUUGUCCGGAAUUAUUGGGCGUAAAGAGCUCGUANGCGGUCUGUCACGUCGGAUGUGAAAGCCCGGGGCUUAACCCCGGGUCUGCAUUCNAUACGGGCAGACUAGAGUGUGGUNGGGGAGAUCGGAAUUCCUGGUGUAGCGGUGAAAUGCGCAGAUAUCAGAGGACACCGGUGGCGAAGCGAUCUCUGGCCAUUACUGACGCUGAGGANCGAAAGCGUGGGGAGGCGAACAGGAUUA
rnacentral:rRNA from 1 species